rnacentral:rRNA from 1 species
GAUGAACGCUGGCGGCGUGCCUAAUACAUGCAAGUCGAGCGAACAGACGAGGAGCUUGCUCCUCUGACGUUAGCGGCGGACGGGUGAGUAACACGUGGAUAACCUCCCUAUAAGACUGGGAUAACUUCGGGAAACCGGAGCUAAUACCGGAUAAUAUAUUGAACCGCAUGGUUCAAUAGUGAAAGACGGUUUUGCUGUCACUUAUAGAUGGAUCCGCGCCGCAUUAGCUAGUUGGUAAGGUAACGGCUUACCAAGGCAACGAUGCGUAGCCGACCUGAGAGGGUGAUCGGCCACACUGGAAGUGAGACACGGUCCAGACUCCUACGGGAGGCAGCAGUAGGGAAUCUUCGGCAACGGGCGAAAGCCUGACGGAGCAACGCCGCGUGAGUGAUGAAGAUCUUCGGAUCGUAAAACUCUGUUAUUAGUGAAGAACAAAUGUGUAAGUAACUAUGCACGUCUUGACGGUACCUAAUCAGAAAGCCACGGCUAACUACGUG